GUAUUACAGACAGUAGGGGCGCCAUAGGACAAAAAAAGGACAUUGUUACCAUUGCAGGAUCAUUAUUCAUUAGUGCAUACAUGAGCAAAACGUAGGCAAACAAUUUGCACUGGAAAACGAAAACGAGCGUUUCUUAUUGGACAACCUCAGGUAGUCCAUUUUCCUGUGUUUGGUACCUAAUGAAUAGGCUGCAACCCGGCUCAGCUGCUGCAAAGAUGCCUGACAAAAAUACUAGGAUGGAAGCAAAUGGACUCCUGAAACAAUCAGCAAACCAGGCUGUCGUCUUGUGAAACAGUGGAUGUAAAUAAUCUAGCUAGGUAAAGCAUUUACCUCAAAUUGAAUGUACAAUUUUGUAAGCUUGCCUUGUUGAUAACGUAACUAGCAAACUAUUUUCUUGUUUAUUGUGUAGUGGAGGAUAAAAAUACCUGUAUGCCUAUGAUGUGUAGCCGAUCUGUGUAUGGACCCAAACGUUUGGUAUACAUAUUAGUUCAGAACCUAGCUAUGAACCUCAGCUAUCAUAGCCGGUUGUAUCGACUUCAAAACAGUCUGACUGGCAUCAAUGAAGCCUAUGGAUUGAGUAGAAUAUAAUAUAACUUUGUGCCAAGGAUGCAAGUUAUUACCAAGCAUGAUAUCCCCACAUUGAAUAUAUUCACUGAUCAUGUUCUCUACCUUGGCAAAUAAAGCUGCGGUUCAGGUAUGAAUGUCUGAGACAUUAUUUUCCAGUCAUAUCAAACGGCAUUCUUUGAAUGAUGCUGUGUCUGUAUUACAAUUAUACACUUCAACAGUGUUUACCAAUCCUGGUAUUGGGACAUCAAUGGUUGGUUACACAUUAACUAUGCAAUAGACUAGAAACAUGAUUUAACUAGUUAAAAGGCUGUUUUGUAAUUCAUAUACAGUAUACAGAAACAGAAUUUUAAAGAAACAGUACACUACACUUCCUAUGCAUCAUGUAAAUAGGUUCAUCUAUCUCAUUUCCUUCAUCUGCACUGAACUGAGGACAGGAUAGGUGUGGUAUUUCAUCAAAUGAGAGACUUCAUUCAAACAGUAGAGAGUGUGAAACGCUUUAUUGAAAGAAGUUCAUUAUCCAAGUGUUAUAAAUAUUAUAAUUCUAAUAUUAUUAAAAAUAUUAGUACAAUCUGUACUUCAAUGCAUAGCUGGUACAAAUUAUAAUAACAGAGGAAGAAAUGUGGGGAGAGAGGUGUGAGUGUAAAAGACAAAGGGAAAGAGGUAAGAACAGAGGAGCAGGGAAAGAUUACAGUGCUACUACACUUAAUUACAUACGUGUCUCCUAACCAGCCUUGGGCCCCAAGUUGGCCUGAAGGUUAUCUUAACAGCGGGUGAGGUGGCGAUGAUGGAACUGGGGGUUGGCAUCCUCUCUCACAUCAAAACAUACCAGCAGACGAGAGACAGAAAAAAAACAAGGCUUAAUCAUGCCAUCACUGUCAGUCAUAAUCAUCAGGAGGUAAAAUUCUAAACUCUGGGACUACUACAUCUCUAUCUGUAUUUCAAUGUAAAGCAUCUCUUUAAUAAUACUUUCUGUUGACCCAACCAAGUGACCUCUCACCUCUGGUCAUGCUGUACCCUCUAUGUAGCCAGUUAAGAUGAGGGAGGGGUUCACCGACACAGCUGAUAUAACCUACAGCAGAUAUUCCCAAACAAAAAUGUGAUUCACACUUUUUUAAAUAUUUUUUAACCAUUAUCGAUUAACAAAAGGUUUUAUAUGUAAGAUGGUUAAAUAAAUAGCAAAUUUAUUGAAUUUUAUUAUAUUAUUUUGUGCCCUUGUCCUAUAAGAGCUCUGUCAAUUCCCAUGAGCCAGGUUGUGACAAACUCACACUCAUUCUUAUGUUUAAUAAAUGUAUAGUGUGUGUGUGGGGGGCAGGCUUACAAUGAUGGCAAAAAAUCGUCACAAAUGAAUACAUAAAUACCACUUGAAGCUUGAUGAUGACUUGAUCAUUUGAAUCAGCUGGGUAGCACUAAGGCAAAAAUAAAAAUGUGCACCCCUUUGAGACCCCAGGAACAGGACUGAGAACCAUUGCUCUUCAUCUGCAGACAGGGUUUCACAGCUCUGUAUCUGAGGACAGAAGACAGACUUCAUUAUACUAAAAUUAGACCGCACUGAAUAUUAUGUUACUAUUAUCUCCGUCCUCACUUCUUACUAUGGAGUGGAACUACACAACAGUACCUGCCCAACCAGAAUAGCCUACUCUACCUUCUUUAACAGUUGGAGCAGCUAUCCUUUCACUCUCUUUCAUGGCUGUUAGCUAGCUACCUACAAAUGCAUUUGGAGUUUGUUUUACAAUUACAUCAAGAUAGCCAUUAUGAAGUUAGGUAACUGGUGAUAUUUAAUUCAGUUAGCUAGCUUUACAGUCUGUAAAGUUGGCUAAAUAGCUAGCUACGUUAGCAGCUCAUUUGAGUUAACUUGCACUGUAGCUAGUUAGCUAAUAAUACAUCGACUAUGUUCAAAUACUUAUACUAACCAUACUGUAACCCAGAGUCAUUACAAUACUAUUUGUGAAGUAAAUUGACUAGUAUGCUUAUUGGUCAUAGUAUGGGUAUAGUUAGUUUACCAAAAGUUCCCGCAUUUCGUACUUCAUUACCGAAAAUACAAAGUAUACAAGCAGUGGACAACAUUUCCGUGCUUUUAUGGCCCAUAAUGCAGUUCUUCCGAAAAUGGGCUUCGACGUUUUCAGAUUUGAAGAAAAUGGCGAAAAAGUCCGACGGGAAAAUAUACGAAUUCAUUGCUUUAACUAAUUAUGACAAAUGUUAAAGAAAUAUCGAUGUAAUAAAGUAAUUACUUUUCAAAUAAGUUACACAUUAUGUUGCCAGACGAUUUGUUAGCUACUCUAUCCUUUUUAUUUUAAUUUUAUUUUUUUACACUCUAAGGUCCAGGGCCUGGGAAUGGCGCAUGUAGAAGUGAUUGCAAGGUUGUGGGUGUCUGCAUUCGUGUGUUCGGCCACACGUACGUCCCUAUGUGUGUGUGCGCUAGAGUGUUGGCUGGCGAAUUAAUGAAAAUAAGGAGGGAGGUGGUGGAUGGGAUGAAAGGAUAAACGCAAACAAAAGAUGGAAAAGGAGAGUAGUAGCUUGGGCUCAGGUGGUGUAGAUCUGGCCCUCUGGUUGCUGAGGGAGCGUCAUGUUCUCCUUGCACAUCAUGAGUCGUCUGAGCUCCUGCAGGACUACACGGAUGCUGUAGGAAUUCUGCCAGUUGGCCAGUGCAGACACUACUCGUGUAUCAACCACACCAUUCAAGUUUAUCUUAAUUACAAAUCUGACAAACGGUGGUGCCUCUGGAUAUCUCGGCCACAUUCAACCGCACGUGAGCCCUACGCUAUCCUUACGAACCGCAUAGCAUUACAAUAUAGCACUAUGUGCCGUUACGUUGGCUAGUUAAGUUACCCGUUAGUUGGCUACUAAUACAUCGAACUUGCCAGUAUAUUAACUAACUUAUAUGCUAUCUAACUACCCAACUGUGUUCGUAAAUUGCGUUUAGAUCUUGAAGCGUUCAGAACGCACACUGGACGCUCACAACGGCAGUCGAGCUAACUGGCUAGGUAACGUUACUUAAUUUUACUCGCCCUAGCAGAACUGGUUAGGUUGUUUUCAUGUUGUCCAGGGCGUUGGUGGCGAACUGUGCUGCUGGCAACAAUUUAAUUACGCCUUUUUGCCGAUAUUUACUGACACCGGCCAUAUUCUAUGGGUGUUAGGCGUUCGUAGAUUCGUCAGUUAUUCUUCGCUCUGGCACACAGACGAGACUGCUCUGAAAUCGGAGUAGAGUGAAUUUACAUACGCAACCUAUUGACUUGAUUAUUCACGUAAUUCUUAGCUUAGCGGUAUAGUCGUUGAGCGUUCUUAAUGGACAUUGUUUUAAUGAAGUUGUAAAAUGUCUUGUCAUUUGUUUUACUAACAAGCUAACAAGAAGUUGCAUAGUAACAGCAUCAACUAACGAAUUGGAAGGAUACCGUUCGUUUACGGUUUCCUAAAAUUAACUAAUAGUAUAUACACUCAUUUAAUAUGUAGUAUACAGUAUGUUAUGGGUAUUCGAACACGGGUAUAGUCUUUUCCCCAAAGUGUAUUUACUUACUUGAAUAGGUUCAUACAGCAGCAAUGUGGACGAUUGGAAACAGGGCAACAACGUUCGUCACCAGAGCGGUUUAAAGCACACUACUAUUUAACUGUCUUUAAACUAUUUACCCAUUUAAUAACCAGAUCGUCAUACAAACUUACUAUGUUGAAUUAUUGUUGCACAACCGAACUGCUGCUGCCAGCAUGCCCACAAGCGAGCCACGCCGUUGUGUAUAGGCCAUAACAAAUAUCCUUUUAAUUUUAUAUCACUCACUUUGCACUGUACACAUAAUAUAAAUGACGAUGCGACACACAUAUUUUGUUUAUAUCGUAACCUAACUGUAUUGCAGAAAUACAGUUUGACAUUUGCUAUCAUUGUUUUCUAUGUUGAGUGCACGCUUCAUAGUUUACGUGGUAACAGUCAUUGGUAUAAUUUAACCAUUAUCAUUCUCAAGUAAAUAGUCACAGUUCAAAGUAGUGUCUUGUUUACGUCUAUUCCUCAGCAGUGAUGGAUGCCGCGGUGUUCCGAUAAAGGAGGUCCAACCUGAAUCCCAGGGUUAAAAUACGGUUCCGGAAGGGCGUUGGGAAAUGCCCACCCUCUGUUCACCCCAGUGGAACUCUUUUUCCCUUUGACGAGUUUAAAAUAGCGAAGUACAGUAGUACAUUUAUAUUGUGUACUGUUAUUGCUAAAAUAAUGCUUGUAUUUAACAUUAUCAUUAUUGUAUAAAUGUAAAACUCGAUGGUUUGCAGACUUGCCUUGGAGCUGGCCACUCCCCUUAUAGUCUCCGUGGAACGUCCCAUGUGAGUUGAUUUUUGGUUUAUGUACGUUCUGUUCCUGCACGUUAUAGCUUAGUUAUUUUUUAGUUAAUACUUUAUAGAACAGUCCGUUUUUCAAGUAAUUUAGCCCUUGGUAUAUUUUAAAGCACUUUGGUUUAUUUCCUUGUCAUAAUUUGUAUCAUCCAAGUUUUGAUAAAUAAAAACCCUUAUUGUUUAA